rnacentral:rRNA from 1 species
UGGGGAAUAUUGGGCAAUGGGCGAAAGCCUGACCCAGCGACGCCGCGUGGGUGAUGAAGGCCUUCGGGUUGUAAAGCCCUGUCAUGCGGAAAGAACGACCCUGUGACGCAUACUCACAGGGAGUGACGGUACCGCAGGAGGAAGCACCGGCUAACUCCGUGCCAGCAGCCGCGGUAAUACGGAGGGUGCAAGCGUUGUUCGGAAUUAUUGGGCGUAAAGGGCGCGUAGGCGGUAAUGUAAGUCAGAUGUGAAAUACUCCGGCUCAACCAGAGAACAGCAUCUGAAACUGCAUAACUAGAGUACAGAAGAGGGAAACGGAAUUCCCGGUGUAGAGGUGAAAUUCGUAGAUAUCGGGAGGAACACCAGUGGCGAAGGCGGUUUCCUGGUCUGAUACUGACGCUGAGGCGCGAAAGCGUGGGAAGCAAACAG